AUUGAACGCUGGCGGCAUGCCUUACACAUGCAAGUCGAACGGUAACGCGGGGCAACCUGGCGACGAGUGGCGAACGGGUGAGUAACGCAUCGGAACGUGCCCAGUAGUGGGGGAUAGCCCGGCGAAAGCCGGAUUAAUACCGCAUACGACCUACGGGUGAAAGAGGGGGAUCGCAAGACCUCUCGCUAUUGGAGCGGCCGAUGUCAGAUUAGGUAGUUGGUGGGGUAAAGGCCUACCAAGCCUACGAUCUGUAGCUGGUCUGAGAGGACGACCAGCCACACUGGGACUGAGACACGGCCCAGACUCCUACGGGAGGCAGCAGUGGGGAAUUUUGGACAAUGGGCGCAAGCCUGAUCCAGCCAUGCCGCGUGCGGGAAGAAGGCCUUCGGGUUGUAAACCGCUUUUGUCAGGGAAGAAACGCUCUGGACUAUUAAUCUGGGGUAAUGACGGUACCUGAAGAAUAAGCACCGGCUAACUACGUGCCAGCCGCCGCAGUAA
rnacentral:rRNA from 1 species